rnacentral:ncRNA from 1 species
GAGAGCCGGAUGCGGGAGAUCUGCAUGUCCGGUUCGACGAGCGGGGUGUGGAAACGGAGCCAGGGUUGAACCAGUGAGGCACCGCCAGACGAAAGAGGCGGCAAACAGAUAUGUUCAACCUACCGCCAC